GACGAACGCUGGCGGCGUGCUUAAUACAUGCAAGUCGAACGGAAAGGCCCUGCUUUUGUGGGGUGCUCGAGUGGCGAACGGGGGAGUAAAACGUGAGUAACACGCCCUUGACAUUGGGAUAAAUUCAGGAAACAGGGGCUAAUACCGGAUAGGAGCUCCUGCUGCACGGUGGGGGUUGGAAAGAUUCGGCGGUUGGGGAUGGAAUCGCGGCUUAUCAGCUUGUUGGGGGGGUAGUGGCUUACCAAGGCUUUGAAGGGUAGCCGGCCUGGGAGGGUGGCCGGCGACAUGGGGACUAAGGUACGGCCCAGACUCCUACGGGAGGCAGCAGUGGGGAAUAUUGCACAAUGGGCGGAAGCCUGAUGCAGCAACGCCGCGUGCGGGAUGACGGCCUUCGGGUUGUAAACCGCUUUCGCCGGUGACGAAGCGUGAGUGACGGUAAUGGGUAAAGAAGCACCGGCUAACUACGUG
rnacentral:rRNA from 1 species